AUACGGAGGAUCCAAGCGUUAUCCGGAUUUAUUGGGUUUAAAGGGUGCGCAGGCGGCCUUAUAAGUCAGUGGUGAAAUCUCCCGGCUCAACCGGGAAACUGCCAUUGAUACUGUAAGGCUAGAAUACAGACGAGGUAGGCGGAAUGUAGCAUGUAGCGGUGAAAUGCUUAGAUAUGCUACAGAACACCAAUCGCGAAGGCAGCUUACCAGACUGUAAUUGACGCUAAGGCACGAAAGCGUGGGGAACGAACAGAAUUAGAUACCCCAGUAGUCC
rnacentral:rRNA from 1 species